rnacentral:tRNA from 1 species
GGUCUAUCGCCAAGCGGUAAGGCAGCGGCUUUUGAUGCCGCCAUUCCCUGGUUCCGAAAUUGGUAGACGCACCA